rnacentral:tRNA from 1 species
AAAACUUAUUAGAUACCAUUGACUCUGGUAUCUACUGGUAUCUAAUAAGUUUUACC